rnacentral:rRNA from 1 species
CGGCCGCGUCGACGGGUGAGUAACGCGUGAGAAUCUGCCUUCAGGACGGAGACAACAGUUGGAAACGACUGCUAAGCCCCGAUGAACCGAAAGGGAAAAUAUUUAUAGCCUGAAGAUGAGCUCGCGUCCGAUUAGCUAGACGGCGGGGUAACGGCCCACCGUGGCUACGAUCGGUAGGGGUUCUGAGAGGAAGGUCCCCCACACUGGAACUGAGACACGGUCCAGACUCCUACGGGAGGCAGCAGUGAGGAAUAUUGGUCAAUGGGCGCAAGCCUGAACCAGCCAAGUAGCGUGAGGGAAGACUGCCCUAUGGGUUGUAAACCUCUUUUGUGCGGGGAUAAAGUGUGGGACGUGUCCCAUAUUGCAGGUACCGCACGAAUAAGGACCGGCUAAUUCCGUGCCAGCAGCCGCGGUAAUACGGAAGGUCCGGGCGUUAUCCG